ACUACGUGAAGUUGGAAUCGCUAGUAAUCGCGGAUCAGCAUGUCGCGGUGAAUACGUUCCCGGGUCUUGUACACACCGCCCGUCACACCAUGGGAGCGGGUUUUACCAGAAGUAGGUAGCUUAACCGCAAGGAGGGCGCUUACCACGGUAGGAUUCGUGACUGGGGUGAAGUCGUAACAAGGUAGCCGUAUCGGAAGGUGCGGCUGGAUCACCUCCUUUCUAG
rnacentral:rRNA from 1 species